rnacentral:miRNA from 1 species
AAUGGAAUUGCUGGAUUAUAUGGUAAUUGUAUUUUGAAUUUUUUGAGGCACCAUCAUACUAUUUUCCAUAGUGGCUUUACCAUUUUAUAUUCCUAUCAACAAU